rnacentral:rRNA from 1 species
AUUGAACGCUUGCGGCAGGCCUAACACAUGCAAGUCGAACGAGUGGCGGACGGGUGAGUAAUGUCUGGGAAACUGCCUGAUGGCGGGGGAUAACUACUGGAAACGGUAGCUAAUACCGCAUACCAUCAGAUGUGCCCAGAUGGGAUUAGCUUGUUGGGAGUGGAAGGGCUAACCAAGGCCACGAUCCCUAGCUGGUCUGAGAGGAUGACCAUGCACACUGGGUCUGAGACACGUUCCGGAAUGCUACGGGAGGCACCAGUGGGGAAGAUGGGACAAUGGGCGGAAGCCUGAUGCGGCCAUGCCGCGUGUAUGAAGAAGGCCUUCGGGUGGUAAAGUACGUUCAGCGGGGAGGCGUUACCCGCAGAAGAAGCACCGGCUCACUCCGUGAGUGCAGCCGCGGUAAUUC